rnacentral:lncRNA from 1 species
GUGGCUGACGUACAGAACGCCGGCUGUAUCACCCGGGCGCCGGCGCCGCCUCUCAUCCCCGUAGCUCUCGGGGCGCGCCGGGAGUAGCCGAGCCGCUGGGUGCUGGGCGGGGUCUCCGGGCGCGGCGCGGGGGGAAGGCAAAGGAAAAGAAGGGGCGGCGGGCCGACGUCGGCGGCGAGGAAGGACGGAGGAGCGCCGGAGCCGCUUUGCUGCCCUCCGCGUGGUCCCGUGCCUCCCCGACACCAUGGCCCUGGCUGAGGUAGUAGUUUGUGCUGUUGGUCGGGUUGUGACAUUGCCCGCUGUGGAGAUAACUGCGCAAGCUACUGCCUUGCUAGUGCUGGUGAUGCUCAGCGCCGCGGAGGACAAUGGCUGGGAAUCCCCUUUGUUUUCCGGGGCGCUGCCUGGGGACAGCCCGCGAAGCCUCGGCGCCCGGCCGGCGCGGCCACCACGGAAACCGUUAGUUUCACAUUUUCCUAGAAGGAAUUGAGGGGAGUGGGGUGGACCGCGAUGCAUUUUAAAGGUUGGGAAAGAGCUAAGCCAUUGGAUUCCUUUUCUUGAAGGAAGGAGUGGAAUUGUGUAAGAUAAUUGAUACAGAUAACUUUUUCACCCUAAAAAAUUCUAACACUUCUUUCAGCAGUUAAAUGCCAAAUUUAGUGUGUACCUGUUUUACUUCAUUCUUUAGCUGUAGGUUGGAGUGGUGUGAGCGAUCUGCAGAACUGGCAUUAGAGGGGCAGAAGAAGUAGACCUGAUAAUUAAAGUUUAUGCCUUAACAUUUUAGAUCUGGUUUCUGAUAUGCUCUCUUAGUAAAUCUGAGUGUGUCUUUAAAAACGUAAACCCAAAGCAAUUUAAAGUUUCUCUUUAAACUUUGCAACUCGCGAAUGAGAAGAUUGAAAUUAUUUGUAGGUAAUUGCACUAUUCCGAUUUUUUAAUGUAUGAGGCAAACAAAUAAAUUCUAUGUACAGUGUGCUGUGAAUGGUUUUGUUUUUUGUUUUUUCUUUUUAGUUUAACCUUGGGGCUCAGAUUCUGCUGGUGUGGUGGGUUGGUUUUUUGGUUUUUAUGGCCUUUGAUUCUAAUGUUAUGUGGUACUUACAUCUUUGAGGUUUUGUAUGGGAGAAGAGGACUAGGAAUUGAAAGUGGUUUCUAGAUUUGAGUUUAAAAUCUACUAACACUCAUUUUGAUUCCUGAGUGGCCACUACUCCUAAUAGGAAAAUACCUUUGCAUAGAGAAAAAAGGUAGUUUGGAUAACUAAUGAAAAUACUCAGUGCUCUAAUACCCUGAAGUCUGCGUGGAAAACAAGAUACUUGUAUUUUUAUUUUAUUUUCACUGAGGGAAGUAAGUGGUCAGUUUUAGUACUUUUCGUUGAAAACUGAUCUGUAUUUGUACAGAAUAAGUAGUUUUGAAUAUAAUGUAAUCGCAGUUUUCUAUGGUUUUCUGAUGCUCAGUUGAAAAACAAAUAAGGCAGUUCUUUAAACCAACCAAACCCUUCAGCAGGAGUUUGAUGCUUUUAUCAUUCAAAAGUGAUCUAAUAUAUGUGCCUUGAUUGGGUUUGGUUUAGCCUUGAGAAUAACCUUACUUAAUCUGAUCUCAUCAGGAUGGAGCCGCCUCAUUGUGGGAAGGGCGGUGAAGAACCUUAUCUUGAAUCUUAAGAUGCAGAAAAUGCUUGAAUGUUGGCUCUUGAAGUUUGCUUUUCUUGAUAGCAACGCAGAGUAAAUUCAGGGCUUUGUUAAGUGCUUGUUUUCUUAAAUAAUGAAAACCUCUGCGGUGCUGUGUCAAAUCUUGGUUUAUGGAGAAACUAAUCAUAACAUGCUAAUUUCAUUAUGAUUUUAUUUUCCAAAACACUUCAUUCAACCAACCGAGGUAAUCUUCCAACCCACUACACUCUAACAUUUUUAUGGAGAAUCAACGGUUGUUAAUCUGCACCCCAAAGUAUAACAAAUUCUGCUGGUAAUUUAAACUUUAAGCGGAUAAGCACACCAGAAAUGCUCAAUGUCCUAUACAGAUAAACUAUUCAUACUUUAUAUCUUGUGUUUUUAAAGUAAAUUUUAUCCACAACUACAUAUUGCCCAAAUAGUAGUAACAUUUUUGAGUUAUUGGAUGUAAAGGUACUUUGAGAGGUUAACUGUUUCCUAAGUUACAAGAGAAAAUACUGCCACCAGCUGACUUGUUUUAAUCCCAUAGCUAUAUUUCUGCUCUAAUCUCCAGUUUUAAAAAUGAUCUGCUAAUUACAUUUCUCUACACACCAACUGAAAAUUACCAACUGAACAUUUUCCUUGUUGACAGUUUCCCACAAGAUGAAUUUGAUUUAUCAAAAAUACAGCUUUCUGAACUUAGUAUUAUUGACAUUUACUUGGUGCAGUUAACUUUUUUGUUAAAGGUCUGUUGUCAAGCAUUUAAGUAAUUUGUAGUUGUAAAAAGCCACUGGUGGAAAGUAAUAAGGCAGUAUUUUGAGUGCCCUUCUCAAUAAGUACAUACUAAACCAAAGGAAAGCUGGGUUAUGGUAAUAACAUUUUAAUAAAUGUCAUCCUCAAUUGGAAAUGGAGACUGUGUUAUGGUAUAUAGGACACACCAUAUGGAGAAGAUUCUUGGAGAACACAGUUUUGCUUCAUACUUUAAAAUUCCUGAUUGCUAAUCUUACAUAGAAAAGCUUUGUUUACAAGCUAUUUUAAAAUAACCUUUUGGCAGGUAGGCAAGACUGACUGGCAAGGGUGCACUCAAGACAUUGUGUCUUGUGGAGUGGUCCCCAAAGAAUUCCUGACAGAGGCACCUGACAGCACAAAUUAGCUCUUCAGUGUAUAAGCACAAAGCACCAAAAAGGCUGAGAUUUCUUCCUAGCUACAUGCUCUCUCCCGCUAUUGUUUAUUACACUCCACCCGCUCCAUGGUGAAGCUGACAAAGGAGAUACUAUUAAUUUCCUUUCCCACUGAAUAAUCCCCUCUGUAAUUUCUACAACAAAAGGUAAAUAGGACAAUCAUCUUCGAAAAUGAAUUAGGCCAGAUUGGUAGUACCCAAAAGGAGAAUUAAUGACCAUUGUCAUAAACUCUGAAAAGCUGUUGGCGCUACUGAUAAUCUAGAUAAUUAAGCAAAAAUUUGAAAAUUAUUUCUAAGAUUGUCUAAUGAAGUUCACUAAGUGUUUUUGUUAGGUUAUCACUAUUGGGCACCAUGGGGAAAGCAAAAUAAUUGUAUAGCUAGGUCAUUGCCCCAAAGGAAAACAGGAAAGAUGUCACAUGAAGUGUUUAAGAAUCAAAAUGUAAUUAGCUGAGUGUGGUGGUGCCUGCCUGUAGUCCCCGCUGAGGUGGGAGGAUCUCAUGAGCCCAGGACUUUGAGGCUGCAGUGAGCCAUGAUUGCACCACUGCAGCCUGGGCAACAGAGUGAGACUGUCAAAAAAAAAAAAAAAUCAAUGUGAGCUCAGUGCAGUGAUGUGCACCUAUAAUCCCAGGUACUCUGGAGGCUGAGGCAGGAGAGUCACUGGAGCCCAGUAGUUUGAGACCUGCCUGGACAAAAUAGUUGAGAUUCUGUCUCAAGAAAUUAAAUAAAUAAUCAAAAUGUGGGCAGGUGAGAAAAACAUUAGUGACCUACUUCACUUUUGAGACCUGGCAGAAAAGUGAUUGAAUGAGCUAAGGGGGAAGGGAAGUAUGGAACACUUCAAAUAGUAUAGUAAUUUAGGGAGUUCUUUUGGUUAGGUUUGUUGCCUGAGAUCUUGGAGAUGACAAUCGCAGUGAUAAUGAUACUCUAGGUGAUUUACAGUUUAGUUUCAUAUUAUCUGCUACAAAUACGCUGGGAGUGUCAUCAGAAUUAAAAGAAAUAUUAGCAGUUCUACAUGGAAUUUAUGUGUUUUCUUAUCUCAAGUUGAAAAUUUUUUUUUUGGUUAAAUUUGUUUUACAUUUACCUUUCUUUAAAAGUGCUGUUUUGUUCAGAUGUAAUGGAAUUGUGCCUACACAGGAUUUUUGGCCACUAAAUUUGUGAAUAGGGUCCUUUAAAGGCAUACUAUUGACACCCGAUAGUGUAACUUUAGUCUUUUAGUUAUAUCAAAUAUGAACAAACCUAAGACACAAUCUUGUGUUUUUAAGGAUAAGUUCCUAGUUCUUUCCUCUUAUUCAACAUCAAACAACACUUACAGAAAAUAUUAUUUUCUUCGAAUCAGGUUUACAAAUUCCGUUAGUUCCAUUAUAAUAUAAUUGAGAGUAUUUUAUCAUGGAAGUCAGGAGUUCGCAGAAAGCCAAGCUGUGUGAUAUGUCACAGAAAAUUCAAGUAAAUUAAGGACUAAAAACUGUCCACAGACAUUGACAGUUUAGAUCAUAUAUGUAGUUGUAAUGUGUUUUCUGUUAUACCUGAAAAAUCCCUUAACUGCUCUUAGGUUGAGUAAUAAACAAUUAACGGGUGUUUUAUCUCACUUUGAACAUAACUACCAAAAAGGUAUUAAGAUUCAGAGAUUGCUGUUUUAAUAUUCUGCACAUAGUGUAUUUUAAAGCCCUUGUUAAACAGAAGUAUUAUGUAGAUACAGGCAUGGGCUAGUUUUAGUCAUAAUAGUAACACUGACUUAAUGUUACCGUAAUAGAUGGCCGAAAGAGUUGACUAAACUCUAAAAACAGAUACAUAAGCAAAUUAAAGUAUAUUUUUCUGUUUUAAAAACAAAUUUACAUACUUUUUAAGAGUUCGGACGAAAAACCUAAGAAUAAGAAUCCUAUCUGCCAUUCAUUUCUUUUUGUAGUGAAUGAAGCUUAUACAGAAUAAAUAAGUUCCAGAUAAAUUCAACAGGUGAAUCGGAUACCUGCUCUAUGUCAGGUGCUGGGAAUAUACAGAAGAUAAAACAAAAACAAACACAAAAAAACCAACUCCACAUUAUGGAAUUCACAUUGUAAAAGGAAUACAUUUCCCUAUAAUAAUAAUUACAGACAUGUAGUGAGGACAAUCCAUGGGCCACCUGAGUUGUUUUCAAACCUGAGUUCCACUCAUACACCUGUUCUAGAGCCCUUGCUCCAAAACCACUAUUGAUAUUCCAGUUGUAUGUUUUAAAAAAGCCAUUUCCCAUUGAUUUUUGUUAUAAUUGUACCUAUUUUUUUUAAAAAAAGAUGAUAAUUUAGUUUCACCAGGGCUGUUUUCUUUCUUUCUUUUUUUUUUUUUGAGACGGAAUCUUGCUCUUGUUGCCCAGGCUGGAGUACAAUGGCACGAUCUCGGCUCACUGCAACCUCCACCUCCCAGGUUCAAGCAAUUCUCCUGCCUCAGCCUCCUAAGUAGCUGGGAUUACAGGCGCCCGCCACCACGCCCAGCUAAUGUUUGUAUUUUUAGUAGAGAUGAGGUUUCACCGUGUUGGCCAGGCUGGUCUCGAACUGCUGACCUCAUGAUCCGCCCACCUUGGCCUCCCAAAGUGCUGGUAUUACAGGCAAGAGCCACCGCGCCUGGUCAGCCAGGGCUGUUUUCUAUCUCCUAAACAGGAUAACACUGCAGGAGGUACUUCACCUUUAAGAGCUUACAAUGUUGUAGCAAGUGCCCAACUACCUUGUGGAGGAAUCUAGACCCCAUAGCCAGACAUCACAUUUUAUGAUGUACACUCUAAACAUGGUAAAAGUUCAAAGAAGCAGGAGUGCACUGUGAGUAGGUAGAGAAUGCAUCUCUCUGGAGCAGAAACGUCAGAUUAUUUUAACAGUAUAAGCUAUGGAGAGCGAUUAUGAGCCUUGUGGUGCCUGAGAACAGGAAAGAAAGAAGUAUCCUACCUUCCUUAUAUAAUUUAUACCUCGGGGUAACUAAAUGGUUGUGAGGGAGAUUUCCUCAUUACAGAAUAAUUCCAGUUUCACAGUGCAGAACGUCUGAUAGAAUGUUAACAUUUACAACAGCUCAUGAAAUAAAGCUAGACCUCUUCAAUGGCUAACUUAAUGGUUGAAACCAUUAAGUAAAAUGCUGAUGGAGAAGUAUGUGAUUAAUGAAUCAGUAGUAGAGAAGUAUUUAAUUCAUGGAUCAGGGCAACCGCACUUCAACUCACUGAUCAAUUUUAAUAUUACAAAAACAGAUAACUAGAUAUUCUAGUUCAAAUAAUUGAACUAGAUAGUGGUUUACUAAGACUCUAGACUCUCAUCAAGUUUCUAGAUCUGAUGAGUAGUUUAUUAGAAAUUUAAGAUAUAGGGGAACAUUGUUAAAUCACCACAGGAGCACAAGUAGCAAAAAUCCACACUGAAAUUCUAUAAGACAAAUGAUCUAAGGAAAAAAAAUUUUUAAGGAAAGAAGGGCAGGAAAACCUGUAGAGUAAAAUGAAUUUAAAGAUAUUUAUCGGUUUAAUUGCAAUGUAUAGACCUUGUUUGGAUCCUAAUUUGAUCAAAGCUAACCACAAACACAUUUAUGAGACAAUUGGAGAAAUUUUAAAACUGACUGAAUAUUAGAAGUUAAAGAAUUGUUUUUGAAAAUGGUAUUGUGGUUAUAGUUUUUAAAAAUCUUUUGGUAUAUGCAUACUAAAUAAUUUACUAAUGAAUGAUAUGAUCGGACUUUGCUUCAUACUUUAAUCCAUGGGGGAUGGGAAGCAUAUAUGGGAGUACACAGGAAAGAAGCUUGUCUUAGUGUUGGUAUUGAUGAUGGGUGAUGGGUAGAUGGGUUUUUUUAUUCUGUUCUACUUUUGUGUAUAUUUAGAAUGUUCCAUAAUAAAAACUCAAAAACACGUAAAACAAGACAAAGAAAGAUUCCUGUGGUUUGGAGACAACCAAAGCAAAGUGAGAACACAUACAAAACCAUGUGAAGGUCAGUAAGGUGCAGCUAAGUGUUCUUAGGGUAUCCUCCCAGGCCACUUUGAAAUACUACCUUGAAGUCUAUCAGAGGAUCAGUCCAUUUUCCUUAUACUCCAGAUCAAAUAUAUUGACUAAUAUAGUGCAAGUUCACACAUACCCACAACAAGGAUACCAUUGUUUAAAUAUAUCUAUUAUAAUUAAAACUAGUAAUUAGAAUUAAUAAGAGAUGUGUUGAGAACUUUUACUAAGUACUUUGUAUGUAUAAAGUACUUGCUUUAAUGUUAGCCUAUUAAACUUAAUAACUUUCCAUUUUAAAUAUUAUUUUUCUAGUUCCAUAGUCUUUUUCUAGAAGUAUGCCUUAUUUCACAUUCUUAAACAAGUACUCUAAGCAAAAUCAGCUCACUAAAAAAAUUUGUUUGGCUUUAACUGCUUUCAAUAAGCUUAGUUCUGUUUUUCCUCUUUUAUUUUGUUAUUCCUCCUGUCUAACUGAAACUUUGUACCCUUUAGCCAACAUCUCCCCAGUACCUUACCCCCUCUGUCUAUAAGCCCCUGGUAACACUAUUCUCUCCUUUCUGCUUCUCUGAGUUUGACUUUUUUAUAUUCCACAUAUAAAUGAGAUCAUGUAGUAUUUGUCUUUCUAUGCCUGGCUUAUUUAGUGUAAUGUCCUCCAAGUUUAAACAUGUCGUUGCAAAUGAUAGAAUGUUUGUCCUUUUAAAUGGAACUCUAAUAAUUGUUCUAGCAAUUUAUUCGAUUUUUUGUUUCCAGUUAGAUUCCUUUUUUCUUAACCUUCUUUGUGUGUGUGUGUGUGUGUGUGUGUGUGUGUGUGUGUGUUUAGACAGGGUCUCACUGUCAUCCAGGCUGGAGUGCAGUGGCGUGGUCACAGCUCACUGCAACCUUCAACUCCCAGGCUCAAGCGAUCUUUCCACCUCAGCCUCCUGAGUAGCUAAGACUACAGGCACACGCCACCACCCCUGGCUAAUUUUUGUAUUUUUUGUAGAGACAGGGUUUUGCCAUGUUGCCCAGGCUGGUCUCAAAACUACAGGGCUCAAUUGAUCGCCCACCUCCGUCUCCCAAAGUGCUGGGAUUAUAGGUGUGAGCCACCGCGCCCAGCCCCCAUCAAUAUAUGUUAACACUUAGCAGUUAGUUCAUUGUGCAUCUACAUAUUACCAGUGUUAUUAAUCUAAUUUAAAUAUUUAACUGAGUGCUGUUACUGCUUUGAAUAUAUUAGCACACUACAAAGGUAAAAAAAUAUAACCAACCUGUGGAUCAAAAGAAACAAUGAUUUUGCAUUUUACUAAGCACAGAAAUUAUCAUGUUUUUGAAUGUGUACCACAAAUGCCAGGCAUACACACACAUAUAUAAAUAAGGUUGAAGGAGGCCGGGCGCGGUGGCUCACGCCUGUAAUCCCAGCACUUUGAGAGGCCGAGGCAGGUGGAUUACUUGAGGUCAGGAAUUCGAGAGCAGCCUGGCCAACAUGGUGAAACCUGGUCUCUACUAAAAAUACAAAAAAUUAGCCGGGCAUGAUGGUGCAUGCCUGUAGUCCCAGCUACUGGGGAGGCUGAGGCAGGAGAAUCGCUUAAACCCCAGAGGUGGAGGUUGCAGUGAGCUGAGAUCGUGCCACUGCACUUCAGCCUGGGUGACAGAGUGAGACUCUAUCUAAAAUAUAUAUAUAUAUAAGGUUGAAGGAAUAAACACAUUGAAGCAUUAUUACAAAUAUAAGAUACUUUUUUUUCUUUUCUUGUUUAAAAAUAAAUAGAGGCAGGGUCUCACUUUGUUGCCCACGCUGGUCUUGAGCUCCUGGGCUCAAGUGAUCCUCCUGCCUCAGCCUCCUAAAGUGCUAGGAUUACAGGCGUUAGCCACCACACUUGGCCAAGAGAGUUCUUUCAAAUUUACCAAUAUUAUCACUAUUAAAUAGCUUUUAUUUUGAAGUAUAUAUCCUAGUGACUUUUUAACUUCAUAUAUCUUAUCCUGUAUAUACGUAGUGAAUCACUAUCUGGACUCAUUAGUUAGACGUUGAACUUAGCCGUGACCUUAUCUACUACAUACAUGGGCAUUUUCUGUUGUUAUUAACCCUGGGACUUAAGUUGCCUUAGAAAUAUUAAUGAUAAUUGCUAUAUGUAUAGAUGUUACCACUAAUAUCUUUAGUAUUCUCUGCUGACUAUCCAUGAACCCUGUGGAGUUUAUUAUGCUGGAAGUCACAGUGUAUUCCUUAAACCCUUCUGAUUCUGCCUUAUGGCCUCCUCCCUUGUUGAGUAUCUUCUUAAAAGGAAUCAGAAACCACUCUUCCCACAUUCUCCAAUAGUCAAGUCACACCAUGAACACGGUUCCAAGAAGCGGAAAGGUCCUCUACCACUUCAAGGAAAUUAGGAAGAAAAAAAAAGAGAGAAAAACAACGUGUUGUUCCAGAAGGUAGUAUGCAAGUUCUCAAAUGACCUCUAGGCAUUUUGGUUCAAGGUCCAUCUUUUUCCUUUAUCAUGUCACUCUUCUUUUUUCCUAUUAAAGAAUAAUUUUUAUAUCUUUUUAUGUGACUGGUAAAAAUAAUAUUCCCCUUCUCCAAAAGUCAUGGUCAGUUAGCUAUAUAAAGGUAGUUGGUAAUGAAACUUCAUGUUCUUGUGGUUUUUAAAAUACAGAGUCUCACUCUGUUGCCAAGGCUGGAGUGCAGUAGCAUGAUCAUGGCUCACUGCAGCCUCGACUUCCUGGGCUCAAGUGAUCCUCCUGCCUCAGAGCCUUGAAUAACUGGGACUACAGGUGCACAUCACCACAUCCAACUAAUUUUUAAAAUUUUUUGUGGAGACAGAGUCUCACUCUGUUGCCCGGGCUGGUCUUGAACUCCUGAGCUCAAGUGAUUCUCCCAUCUCAGCCUCCCAAAGUGCUGGGAUUACAGAUGUGAGCCACCAUGCCCAGCCUUGUUUUUUUUGUUUUUUGUUUUUUGUUUUUAAUGUAAGAAAAGGUAAGAAAAAUAUGGUGGUGGUCUUACAGGUACAUAUGUGGUUUAUGCACUGUGAAGCUGUUGAAAGGAGUGGAUGAUGAUGAAAUGCAUGCAGUUGAGCUAGGCUCAGUGGAAAGUCAUGUUGGGGAACAGAUGGAGUUUUGAAGUGCUAAGAGAAUGAUUUAAUGAAACUGGGGUCAUAAAAUUGCUAGAAAGAAUGUAGGCUGAUUUCUUCCAGAAUUUAAAGGCUCUGGGAAUAGGAAGCCAGAAGAGUAAGAACAGAAACAGAUCAGCUUGAACACCAGAGUUGCGCCUUUGGAUGAACUCUGGGGAAAGGGUAUGUUUUCAGAGAAAAAUAAAAAAGGAUCUGGGAUCAUUUACUCUAUCAUUUGUUUAACAAUUAUUAGUGUGUGUGUGUGUGUAUGUGUGUGUAUAUAUAUAUAUUUUUUGAGAUGGAGUCUAGCUCUAUUGCCCAGGCUAGAGUGCAAUGGUGCGAACUCGGCUCACUGCAACCUCUCUCUCCCUCCUAGGUUCAAGAGAUUCUCCUGCCUCAGCCUCCCAAGUAAUUGGAAUUACAGGCCCAUGCCACCCCACCCGGCCAAUUUUUUUUGUAUUUUUAGUAGAGAUGGGGUUUUGCCAUGUUGGCCAGGCUGGUCUCAAACUCCUGACCUCAAGUGAUCCGCCAGCCUCGGCCUCCCAAAGUGCUGGGAUUACAGGCACGAGCCACCAUGCCGGACCUAUUAGUGUAUUUACUGGAUAUCAAGAUGACUAAGAAAUAGCACUUGCCUUGAAGGAGCUUUUCUAUUUGAGGAAAAAGACAUGUAUAUAAAUAACUGCAAACAGAAUGAAACAAGUGUUAUGUAGAUCUACAUACAGUGACAUGCCAUGGGAAUGCUGAACACUGAGCAACAGUUUCAACUAGCGAAUUGGCACAGGAAACAUGAAAAAUAAGCGUAUUUUCAAUAUGACAAGAAUGGUCAUUUCUGGAUAUAAGAACAAGAGAAAAGUCAUGGGUAUAUGGAAAGGCAUGGACUCUUCAAGGAAGAGCAAGUAGUCUAAUGUAGAUGCUGUAUAGGAAUCUGGGGACAAAGGGACAGAUAAGUGGUGUAGACAAAGAGGCUGGAAAUAGGGUUAUGGGCUAGAUCAUGAGUGACCUGUAAGCAUUAGGAGUUUUGAUUUAUUUUGGAAUAAGAAACAUUUAUGGCUUUUGAGAAGGAAAAUUACACAAGGGAAAAGAAAGGAUUUUUAUUUUUUAUUUUUAUUUUUGGAGAGAUGAGAUCUCACUAUGUUGCCCAGGCUGGUCUUGAACUCCUGAACUCAAGCAAUCCUCCCGGCUCGGCCUCUGAAACUUCUAGGAUUAUAGGCGUGAGCCACUACGCCCAGCCAGGAUUAUGUUUUUUUAUGGGAGGGAUGAGAAUAUUGGUAGGUGGGUAGAGGAUAAAUGAGAGAGAAUAUGUAUAUGUGAGAUUGAAUAUAUAAUAGAAAAAAUUGAUAGGACAAGUCCUGCGUUAUUACUACAUUUUAUGAGGAAAAUCUAUAUAUUAGAAGCACUUUAAAGGUAUAUUUGCUAUUCUAGCUGUGGAAACCAUCUGAAAACACAUUUGAAAGUGCUUUGAAACAGGGGUCAACUUCUCUGCAAAGGGCCAGAGUAUGUUUAGCUUUGCGGGCCACAGAUGGCCUCUGUUGCAUAUGCUGCUGGGUCUCCACCUUCCUCCUCCUUUUCUUCCCUUCCUCUUCCUUCUUUUUCUUCUUCUCUUUCUUCUUUCUCUUUAAAAGCAUAAAAUCAUUCUCAGCUCUUGGGCCAUACAGAAACAGGCCAUAGGCCAGAUUUGACUUCUAGGCCAUAGUUUGCCGACCCUCCAUUUUAGAACUUAGCUUUCCUGAAAGAGCAUUUGGGUCUCUCUCUCUCUUUCCCUUUCUCUCUCUCUGUCUCUCUCUCUCUCUCUUUCAGUAAGUGAAGUAAGAAAUAGGUCUUUCUUGAGGAACAAAAAGCUGAAAUAAUUUCAUGCAUUUGAAUAUGACCCUUGACCUGUUUUUGUCCAUCAUCACUCAGAUUUGUGGCUGCAACCACCAACCAAUUUGGUGCCAUAGGAUAUAGCAUAAUUUUUCAGCAACAGUUCAUAAGCUUUUCUUUUUGUUCUUUUUCCUUCUUCCAGUUGUGGUGGUUUAAAAACAUGUCUGCAAAAUCUUUGACACUUCUCAGUAAAAAAUAUAGUCUUGUGUUCCCUUUUCUUGAACCUAAGUGGCCUUUGUGCUGCCUCAACAAAUAGAAUAUGACAGAAAAGACACUAUGUGACUUUUGAGACAGGGUCAUAAGAGGUGAUACAGCUUCCCCAUGCCCCUGCAUUUUAGAGCUCUGGGUUGCCAUGUAAGAAUAGCUACCCUGAAGCUACCAUGCUGAAGAGACCACAGGGAAAUCACAUAGAGUUAGAAAGAGGUGUCUGAAGAAGCCCAGCUGCUCCCAAUCCCAGCUAUUUAAGUCCUCCCAGACCAGGUGCCAUAUAUAUGAGUGAGCAAGCCUUCAGAUGGUUCCAGCACCAGCCACCAUCUAGCUGUAAGCUCAUGAGACCCCUUCAACGAAAACCAUCUAGAUUAGCUUAGUCAAGCCCCAGAACCGUGAAAGACAAUAGACUUGCUAUGGAGGUCGCCACAUGCCUCUUUUUUCUCCCUUUGUGAAUGGGAUUAUUUAUAAUGGUUACCCCAUACCUACUCCACUAUGUAUAUUGGGUAUGAGGGAGAGAUAAUUUGUCUCACUAGCUGACAGAUUUUUCAGACCUCAAGGAAUGCCACGUGAGCUGUACUCACAGGACCACACACAAGUAUCUUUAUCCACACGUGACCUGAUUUCACUGAUAAAGUCCUGGACCUUGAGCCUGAGCCCAAUGUCUUAAUAAAUGAGAAUUUCAGAAGGUCUUGGGAGGGGGUGAGUAUAUUUUGCAUGUGGGAAGGAUGUAAAUAAUAUGUGGCCUGAGAGCAGAUUAUGGUGGUUUGAAAAUGUGUCCACCAAUUCUUUAAUACUACUCUCAACAAGAGGUGGAAUCUGUGUCUCUUCCUUUGGAACAUGAGUGGACCUUUGUGAUUAAAUGCAGCAGAAGGAUGCUGUGUGAACUCUGAGACAGGGUAAUAAGGGGUGAUACAGCUGCCACCUAGUUCUUUCUCAGAACAUGUGCCUUUGGAGCCCUGAGCUGCCAUGGAAGAAAACCACCUACCCUGAAGCCACAACACUGGAAAGACCAUGUGGAAGAACCACAGAGAGAGAGAAGAGGACCAAAUGUGUGAGCCUUCCCAGCCCAGGCUCCAAAUAUGCAAGUAGUAAGCCUUCAUUUCUUUUUGGUUUUAAUUUUUUUUUUUAAAUAAAUCGAAAUGGGUUCUCACUAUGUUGCCCAGGCUGGUCUUGAACUCCUAAGCUCAAGUAAUCCUCCUACCUCAGUCUCCCAAAGUGCUGGAAUUGUAGGCAUGAGCCACCAUGCCCGGCUGCAAUUAGUAAGUCUUCAGAUGCUUCCAUCACCAGCCACCAUCCGAUGACAACCCCAUGAAUGACCCUCAGCAAGAACUACCUAGCUGAAUCCAGCCAAACUCCAGACCCAUGAGAGAGAAAUAAAAUUGUUGUUUGAGUCACUAAAUACGGAGUAAUUUAUAUUAUCAACAGAUAACUGGAACCACAAGUGUAAUUGUUAAAGGUAAAACUUUGAAUACAUUUAUAUUUGCCUUCUGCCACAUUCCAUAAUUGACUUUUGUUCAUGAACCUAUUGGCAAGUUUGCCUUAUUGCUUUUCCUUCUUCCCUCUUUUUUUUUUUUGUAACUUAAAAAAUCAUAUAAUAAAACAACACAAAAAUGUAUUUGAAUGUAGGUUGAGUGACCGUAAAUAAGCACAAAACUUCUCCUUCCUGUGACUCUCUUGUCUGUAUAUGCCAAGUAUCUAACACAAGGCCUGCCUGGCACAUAAUUUUUUUUUUUAAAUGUUAGUCUCUUUUAUCAUUCUUUUUCCCUGUCAGUGGUAUUAUCUUUACCCAUGGAAUCCAGCACCCUCAUGCUGACUUAUAGUUCCCCAAAGUCCCUAACCUCUACAGUCCUCUCCAACCCCCACCCCAGGCCUCUCUCUAUGUUCCAGACAUUUUCUGGCUUUUUACCAUUAUCCAAACUCUGAACUUAUCUACUUAGUUUUUAUAAAAAAACACAGAGUGACUACAUAGCUAAUAUAAAUAAUGCCAGUGUUAACACAAAAAUUUGACUUGAAUGAUUACAAUAGCAAACUUCAAUGUUUACCCCAUGGAAUAGGCAGAAAAUUUCAAGCACUUUUCUAGGCCACCUGAGUCUAUUUUGAGUAAGGAUCCUUAAGUUGAUACUCAAGUAAUGACAUUGAUGCAAUGUAGAAGACUAUGCUAAAAUUUGUCCUGGCUUCUCUCCAUGCUAUGGGCCAUCUGUAAAGCUUUGGAGUCUAGGUCAGAUGUAUGCGUUGUCUCCUCUUUGCUACCAUUUUUGUACAGAUUUCUAAUCUAAAUAAAAUUAAUGGCAAUAACAGUGUGGAAAGGGAAAGCCUAAAAGAAAGAGGGUUUUUGAAGAGUGGGGGACCAGAAAAGAAGAGGACAAUUUUACCUGAAUUGUUUUACUUUAGAAAAUAAAUUUGUUCAUGUGAUUCUGUGAGUCAAUUUACACAUGUAUAUAAAUACACAUUUCUUUAUUUAACCAUUAUUAUUAUCACUAUGUGAUCCCUCAAUGUGCUGGCUACCACGGGUGUAAGAUAAAUUACAGAAACUCCUUAUUCUGAAGGAUUCCAACAACAAUUUGGCAUUGUGCACUGUAUGGGGCCUGGGAAAAUCCUCUGAUUUGCCAUACCUUAGGAAAGGUCUUUGCAUGAUACUAGGCCAUGUCUCUUACUACAAUGAUGAGCAUUCUUAGAUUUAAAAAUAAUACCAAGCUGUCAGGAAAACUGAAUUCCAUCAAUAAUAACAUCUUUUCAUAAACUGAAAGCUUGCAAAGCCUUAAUUAAAAAAAUGAAUUUAUUACUAAGUGAAUUUAAUUCACAAAAGGAAUUUUCCCCAAUAUUUAGGCUGUUGUUGGUUUUGGCUUUGUUUUUAAUUAACAUUUUUAGUUGUAUGGUUUGAUCAAAUACUGAAUUUGAGUUCAAAGAUACAUUUCCUCUGAGGAUGCAGUCUAAAGAGGCCAAGUAAAUAAUAGAAAAUCAUAGUUUCCAAGUUUCGCAGAACAAAGCUCAGUAGUUCCAUGACUUUUUCAGUGUUCUACAGAAUUGAGCUACUCCCUCUUACACAAAAAAGUGCUCUAAUUUUCAUUUUUUUCUUCUUUGCUCAGUUUCUUCAUUUAUUUGCCUACUUUCUUAAUUUCUUCCUAAGUAAAUAUAUAGCUAUCUUUGAGGAGAAGUGAUGUAACAUCAGAAACAAAGAGUAGACUCACAAUUAGAGCCCACUGACUCAUGGGACUUUAGAUAAACCACUAAUCAGGAAACUGGGGGUGUUAAUGCUGUUUAGUUAGUUGAUUGAGGAGGUGAGGACAAAACCUGGUGACUUCAGGGCCUCAGCAACAGAACUCCUACCUAUUUCCAUUGCUACCACUUACCUUAUGGGCAUUAGAUAAUUCUGCAGUGAGUUAUUCUGUGCAUGAGGGGGCAAAGGCUUUAGAGUCAGGUAGCUGGGGAGUUAUUUUCUCUCUCUGCUAUUUAAUAGCUGUAUGACCUCAGGUGAAUUUCUUAAUCUCCGUUUCCUUGUUUGUAAUACCCAUCAUGAGAAGUUGUUCUGAGGAUCACAGAUACUAUACCUAAAGUACCCAACAAAGUCCUGACACAAGGAAGGUGUUCCAUAAACGGUAGCUAUUUGAAGUAGUCUAAAAGGUCCCUUUCAAAUGUUUAAUACACCCAUAUAAUCCCAAUCUUAAUCUCUCACUCUCUUGUUGGCCCAUCAUUAGAGCACCAGAUCCCCUUGACUGCUUUCCAGGGUAAGGAUGCAAGACCACUGAGAACUGUGCCGCGCUGGUAAGAAGAGGUGCUGAUGGCAUGCUGUUGCCUCUGCCAGACAGACUCUGUCUUUGCUGAAGUGUUUAGUAUUGCUAUUGUGGCAAAUGCCAUUUUAGUCAAAGGCAAUAAAUCUUCCUUUGUUUAAAUGACAGAUGGCUAGGAUUGUUACUUCUGUUUCUAGCAAACCCAGAAAGGGAAAAAAUAAAUUACUGACAUUCAGAGUUCUUGUUUUUUAAGAAUAUUAGGGGGAAAAUGAAAAUAGUAUAGUUUCAGCAAAGUUAUAUAGUUUUUGCAGUCAACAGAAUAAUGGGCCCCCUAAUGAUGUUCACGUCCUAACCCCUAGAAUCUAUGAAUAUGUUAGGUUACAGGGCAAAGGGGAAUUAAGAGUGCAGGUGGAAUUAAGAUUAAUUAGCUGACCUUAAGAUAGGGAAUGUAGCAUAAUUUAUCCAGGUGAGCCCAAUAUAAUCACAAUGGAAGACAGAGACAGAAGAAUCAGAGUCAGAGAAGACGUGGCUACAGAGGAGAGAGUGAUGAGAUGUGAGGAUUCUGCCUGCCAUUGCUGGCUUUCAAGAUGAAGGAAGGGGGCCAUGAACCAAGGGGAUGCCUCUAGAAGCUGGAAAAGGUAAGGAAACAGAUUCUCACCUAGACUUCCAGAAAGCUCUGCUGUUGCCUUGAUUUUAGCCUAGUGAGACCCAUUUCAGACUUCCGACCUCCAGUACGUGAAGAUAAUACAUUUGUGUUGUUUUAACCUAUUAAGUUCUAAAAUGGUGAACCCAAUUUCAUUUCUUCUCUCCCUUUACAAGGUAGGUGCUAUUAACAGUGAAAUGACAAUGCAAAAGCAAAGCAGAGGAAAGCACCAGCAAAGGACAUGCCUCGCUGACUGCAGAUUACAGUGUCCUCUACUCAAUUCCUAUCUUAAUAUGUAUCACAUGCCCUGCCUGAGAUAAUGAGGACUCUCCCAUUCCCUCAGUCUUCAGGUUGCCUCUACUUCUCUUCCAUUUUCUUUUUCCUUGAUAUGAUCCUCUUCUUUCUCAUUCUUCUCUUCUUUCAUUUCCUGAGUUGUUUUCUCUCCACUUCUUCCCCCUCUACUCUGAUAGGAAAUAUUAUAGCAGUAGCCCAAGCUAGAAGAAAAAGGACACACCUACCAGCUCCCUCCCUCCCUCACAACACCUACACGGCUGCUGGGGAAGCCUUGAAUGAAAGCUAGAAAAGAACAAAUAGGAAAAGAGGCAUUUGAAAACAGAACAGAAAUAGUCACAGACGGGUGACAGGCAGGAGAUGCCACCUCAUUGACAGCUGCCACCAUUUUCCAUAGAGAAGUUAUUCCAUUGUAGUAUACACCAGGGCUGGGUUUAAAUAUUUUUCCUAUGUACUUGGUAGUAUAGUGGAAGCUCCUCCAUUUCUCUAAAUAGUUAACUGCAUACUUAGAGCUCUUGGUAGCGUUUAGAACACGGAGUUAAUUAUUCUGAGUGUACCUAGCCCCAUCACUGUCUGUAAUCUGUACAAAAUUUGAUAAGCCCUUUUAAGGUAGUUAGAUAUUUAUUGAGACUCUGCUGUAUAUUUGGCAGUGCCCCAGAUAUAGGUAGUGGUGGUGACAGCAAGCAAUAGGACCAGUGGAGCCUGCUUUUUAAUAGAGAGUGAUCUCUCUGGUAUUGUUGUAAGUACAGCAUAUAAGCAACUUGAGGUGUUGUCUUAAAGAUGUGAGCUCACCUAAUUUACACAAGAGCAUCAAAGCCAGAAUUCCUCCCCUUGCUGAUGUUAGCCUGUAACUCUGUGCCUCUCAAGUGUAUAACUUCUUCUGUGGGAAUCAUGCUUCUGAAGCAUGAGGAAAGAACACACCCGUGUUUCCACUUUCUCUGCUGCUUUGCAUGUGAUCCCUCCAGGUAUGCAAAAUAAUGCCUCAAUAUCAUUUUGACCUGUGUUGUCAUUUUACAUAUUUUAUCAGAAGACUUCAUAUCGGAUGGAAGCAAAUCUUUAGAAGGGUUGUUAUAACAACUUGAACAGCCCAUCAUGCUCUAGGCAUGCUCCCUAUCACGGCUAUGUUUUCAUUCAUUAGAGAUGGAGGAGGAGGCGGCUUAAAAUGUGUAAUUCUAAUCACCUAUUCCUACAGCUCUCUAACUGGUCUCCGUGGCUUCUCUUGCCUUCCUCCAGUCUUGCCCGUGAACCUUGAUUAGAGGACAACACAACACUAACAGCCACUCCUCCCUCUCCCUCCUGACUCCUUAUUUGAGUUAGAGGCUCUCGUAACACCUGCGUCUUCCCCUUUGUCAGCAGUCAUCACAACGAAUUGUGAUUGCCUAUUUACUCAUCUGCAUCUCCCACUGAAUUCUGAUCCAUGGUGGCUGGCCCAUGCCUGUCUUGUGUACAUUUGCAUGUAAACCACUUAACCCAAGUGCCAGGAAGCAAACAGUACACGCAGGUGUGUGGAGUGAUUGAAAGCUAAUUUGCUACCUAAGAAUGUACAGUGAUUCCUCAGUGUUUAUUAGAUCAGGCCCAGACUCUUCAUUUCAGUUUUCAACUCCUCUGAUUUUUCUUUUAUACAAGCUUUCAGAUCUCCUCUUGGUUCUCAUCUAGCUCUUGCAUCUUUAUGCCGUGGGUUGAUUCCUCUGCCUGCCUAUCUGUAGUAGCUUGUCUCCUAGGAUGGCUGCCAUCAAUUUCUUCUCUUCUGUAUACACAUGCCACUCCCGCAUUGAGAGAUGGAGUCUUCUUUCCCCCUGGAAUCUGGUCUGGCCUGUGACUAAUUUCAAUAAUAGAAUCUUGCAUUUCUAUUGAAACUACCAAAAAAAAAAAAUUGUGUCAGCUACUACAGCUACUAAGUUUUGGGAUGGUUUGUUAUAUGGCAAUAGAUAUCCUCAAUACCAUUCUUCAAAGUCCCAAACCUACAUUUUCUGUGAAGCCUUACCUUGCUAGUCUAGUUAACACUGAUCUCCUCCUUCUCUGAAGUUCUGUGGGAAUAGAACUUUGUUGAUGCCACACAUUUUGUUAUCCAACUGUAUGUAUUAUUACUUUUCCUUUCCUGAAUGCCAGUAUGAACUCCAUGACCAAAUUAUAUGGUCUUUGAAGAUACCAAAUAGUGGAAAUAGGUCUUUUGUAAUCCCUUCAACAAGUCCUAGUACUGAA